rnacentral:sRNA from 1 species
UGAGGGCUGAUUCGGCUGCUCUGGCCGUCUGGUGUCUCUUCCUGCCCUACCCCUCAAUGCGAGUCCCUCCCACAUCUGGGCUCAGGGAGUAAAGGUGACCUUCCUUCCCAGAGGAGUGCUAUCAUUUGAGCAAAGGCAUGGAGGUGGCUAAGCUUCUCUAGUUGAACUCAGCAAAAGACAAAGUAGAAGAAUCCUCAAGGUGGGAGCCAAUCUUGCUG